CGGCUCUGUAAGUUUUCGGUUAAAUCUGUACGCUCAACGUACAGGCUGCCGGGAAUACUGCAGAGCUAGGGAGCGGGAGAGGUAGACGGUACUCGGGAGGAAGUGGUAAAAUGCUUUGAUCUCUCGAUGACCACCUGUGGCGAAGGCGGUCUACCAGAACACGUCCGACGGUGAGGGAUGAAAGCUGGGGGAGCAAACCGGAUUAGAUACCCGGGUAGUCCCAGCUGUAAACUAUGCAAACUCAGUGAUGCAUUGGCUUGUGGCCAAUGCAUUAUUGCAGGGAAGCCGUUAAGUUUGCCGCCUGGGAAGUACGUACGCAAGUAUGAAACUUAAAGGAAUUGGCGGGGGAGCACCACAAGGGGUAAAGCCUGCGGUUCAAUUGGAGUCAACGCCAGAAAUCUUACCCGGAGAGACAGCAGAAUGAAGGUCAAGCUGAAGACUUUACCAGACAAGCUGAGAGGUGGUGCAUGGCCGUCGCCAGCUCGUGCCGUGAGAUGUCCUGUUAAGUCAGGUAACGAGCGAGAUCCCUGCCUCUAGUUGCCACCAUUACUCUUAGGAGUAGUGGGGCGAAUUAGCGGGACCGCCGCAGUUAAUGCGGAGGAAGGAAGGGGCCACGGCAGGUCAGUAUGCCCCGAAACUCUGGGGCCACACGCGGGCUGCAAUGGUAAUGACAAUGGGUUCCGAAUCCGAAAGGGGGAGGUAGUCCCCAAACAUUACCACAGUUAUGACUGAGGGCUGCAACUCGCCCUCACGAAUAUGGAAUCCCUAGUAACUGCGUGUCAUUAUCGCGCGGUGAAUACGUCCCUGCUCCUUGCACACACCGCCCGUCGUUG
rnacentral:rRNA from 1 species